rnacentral:sRNA from 1 species
CUUGGUCAUUUAGAGGAAGUAAAAGUCGUAACAAGGUUUCCGUAGGUGAACCUGCGGAAGGAUCAUUAGUGAAUUUAGCGCAUCUGCUUUGCAGAGCGUGACCUCCACUUUCUAACUCUGUGCACUUAAUGGCGGAAGAGAUGAAAUAUGCUCUUCUGCGGCUCAUUUUAUAACACUAGUUAAAGAAUGUAACGAAAUAUCGAAACAAAAAAAACUUUCAACAACGGAUCUCUUGGCUCUCGCAUCGAUGAAGAACGCAGCGAAAUGUGAUAAGUAAUGUGAAUUGCAGAAUUCAGUGAAUCAUCGAAUCUUUGAACGCACCUUGCGCUCCCUGGUAUUCCGGGGAGCAUGUCUGUUUGAGUGUCAUGAACUCUUCAACCCACCGGUUUCUUGUAAACUGGCUGGUGUUUGGUUUCUGAGUGUUGCUCGUCCUUGUGACUGAGCUCAUUCGUAAUAUAUGAGCAUCUCUAAUUCGAAUUCGGAUUGACUCAGUGUAAUAGACUAUUCGCUGAGGACACACCUAGUGUGGCCGAAUAAGAUAAUUGUAGAAGCUUCUAACCCUUCUAGUCAUUUUAAGAUUAGACCUCAGAUCAGAUAGGACUACCCGCUGAACUUAAGCAUAUCAAUAAGCGGAGGAAAAGAAACUAACAAGGAUUCCCCUAGUAACGGCGAGUGAAGCGGGAAGAGCUCAAAUUUGUAAUCUGGCACUUUCAGUGUCCGAGUUGUAAUCUCGAGAAGUGUUUUCCGCGCCGGACCGCAUACAAGUCUGUUGGAAUACAGCGUCAUAGUGGUGAGAACCCCGUAACUGAUGCGGAUGCCCGGUGCUUUGUGAUACACUUUCGAAGAGUCGAGUUGUUUGGGAAU